AUCUGGGCGGCGGAAUUCAGGGUGGCUGGCGUGCUCUCGCGGUGCGUCGGUCGUUUGAUAUUUCCGUCGCCAACUAACCGCAGACGUCGCGACCUGUUCGCGGUCGGUCGCUGAGCCACGUUCGAGCUCGUUGUGUGCGUGUUUCGGCGCGUCACACGGCGAAGGCGUGGAUUUCUGGCUGGCCGUCGGACAGUAUGCUAAACGGUGUCCGGUGUCGUCGUCUGCGCGGCAUCGGUACCGGUCAGCGACGAAUUCUUCGGGCCUCUUUCCGACCCGUCUUGAAACACGGACCAAGGAGUCUAACAUGCGCGCGAGUCGCGGGGUAUCGAGCGUACUUCGGUGCGUUCGUUAUGUUGCGAAACCCGUACAUGUCGAAGGCGUAAUGAAAGUGAAUGGGGAAGAUGGUGGUCCGAGUACACGUUCCGCGAUCGUCGGUAUCGCGGCCGGUCACCCGCAUUCCCAGGGCGUCUCAACGGCCCGUCGUUGAUGCGGACAGUCGUCUUUCGGGGCGGCUGUCGGUCGACGACGAACCGA
rnacentral:rRNA from 1 species